rnacentral:rRNA from 1 species
AUUGAACGCUGGCGGCAGGCCUAACACAUGCAAGUCGAACGGUAACAGGAAGCAGCUUGCUGCUUUGCUGACGAGUGGCGGACGGGUGAGUAAUGUCUGGGAAACUGCCUGAUGGAGGGGGAUAACUACUGGAAACGGUAGCUAAUACCGCAUAACGUCGCAAGCCCAAAGAGGGGGACCUUAGGGCCUCUUGCCAUCGGAUGUGCCCAGAUGGGAUUAGCUAGUAGGUGGGGUAACGGCUCAGCUAGGCGACGAUCCCUAGCUGGUCUGAGAGGAUGACCAGCCACACUGGAACUGAGACACGGUCCAGACUCCUACGGGAGGCAGCAGUGGGGAAUAUUGCACAAUGGGCGCAAGCCUGAUGCAGCCAUGCCGCGUGUAUGAAGAAGGCCUUCGGGUUGUAAAGUACUUUCAGCGGGGAGGAAGGGAGUAAAGUUAAUACCUUUGCUCAUUGACGUUACCCGCAGAAGAAGCACCGGCUAACUCCGUG